GUUUUGGAGUUGAGGUCCCGGAGACUCUUUCAAAAGGAAGACGGAGCUUUGGAGGAUUUAUCUGGGUGAUGGUUGGGUGAGGCCGAAAGGCGAAGUUUGGCGGAGACAGGAGAACUUGCCUGAAGAGACAUUGAUUGCAGUAUCAGGCUAGCGGAGUGAAGAAGCAGUAGGAAACUUGAAGGAAAUUAGAAUAUUUACAAUUUUGUGUGAGCGUGUGUAUCAACAAAUAUUUGAGACUUCCACAGUAUUUCCUGGCUUCUGAGUCAUACAAGCUAGAAAGUGAGGAGUUAUCCGUGUUCGCCUCUCUUACCGUUACAUCCUACUGCUAUGCUAUUGGAGAGAAGAUUAAAAGCAUACAAAACUGGAGAAAGAACAGGAGAAUGUUAGACAAAUAAGCUACUGGGGAGGCUGAGGCAGGAAAAUACCUGGCACCUGGGAGGCAGAGGUUGCAGUGAGCCAAGAUCACACCACUGUACUCCAGCCUGGGCGACAGAGCAAGAUUCCCUGUCUUGAAAAAAAAAAAAAAAGAAAAAGACUUGACUUUAACCCAAUCAAAUGGGAGAGGAGGAGCAACACUAGCCACUUGUCUAAUAAAGAGUUUAGAUCGACUCAGAACAAAAAUUAUUAAGAUGGUAUGUGAUAAAUUUAAUAGAGUUCUAAAUAAUUAGAAAAUAGCUUUUAAAAGUGUUGCUUUGAUUCAAUAUUCUUUAUAUGUUUUCUAUGCAAAAUACCUUUUUCAUGGCUUUUAAAUUAUGAAAAAUAAGACAAUGUGUCUUUAUUUUCUCUGACCCUUUAUAUUAAUUCAUUGUGCAUAUUUUAUUAAGAUCAUCACAUACCAGCUUCUGUGUGCAU
rnacentral:lncRNA from 13 species